rnacentral:rRNA from 1 species
UAAGCAUAUCAAUAAGCGGAGGAAAAGAAACUAACAAGGAUUCCCCUAGUAACUGCGAGUGAAGCGGGAAAAGCUCAAAUUUAAAAUCUGGCAGUGGUUCACUGCCCGAGUUGUAAUCUAGAGAAGUGUUGCUCACACUGGACCAUGUAUAAGUCUUCUGGAAUGAAGCGUCAUAGAGGGUGAGAAUCCCGUCUUUGACAUGGACUCCCAGUGUAUUUGUAGCAUGCUCUCAAAGAGUCGAGUUGUUUGGGAAUGCAGCUCUAAAUGGGUGGUAACCUCCAUCUAAAGCUAAAUAUUGGCGAGAGACCGAUAGUGAACAAGUACCGUGAGGGAAAGAUGAAAAGAACUUUGGAAAGAGAGUUAAAAAGUACGUGAAAUUGUUGAAAGGGAAACGCUUGAAGUCAGUCACAUUGGCCAGGGAUCAACCCAAGCUUUUGAGUGUACUUCCUGGCUGAUGGGCCAACAUCAGCUUUGACUGUCAGAGAAGGGUAGGGGGAAUGUGGCACCCUUCUUGGGUGUGUUAUAGCCCUCUGUCAUAUAUGGCCGUUGGGGCUGAGGAAUGCAGCGCGCCACAAGGCCGGGCUUCGACCACGUUCGCGCUUAGGAUGUUGGCAUAAUGGCUUUAAUCGACCCGU